AUGAACGCUAGCGACAGGCCUAACACAUGCAAGUCGAGGGGCAGCACAAGGAGCAAUCUGAGGUGGCGACCGGCGCACGGGUGAGUAACACGUAUGCAACCUGCCUGUAAGCGGGGAAUAACCCGUUGAAAGACGGACUAAUACCGCAUAAUACUAAAUUACUGCAUGGUAAUUAUUUAAACAUUUAUGGCUUACAGAUGGGCAUGCGCAUGAUUAGCUAGUUGGAGAGGUAACGGCUCCCCAAGGCAACGAUCAUUAGGGGUUCUGAGAGGAAGGUCCCCCACACUGGUACUGAGACACGGACCAGACUCCUACGGGAGGCAGCAGUGAGGAAUAUUGGUCAAUGGACGAGAGUCUGAACCAGCCAAGUCGCGUGCAGGAAGAAUGUCCUAAUGGAUUGUAAACUGCUUUUGCAGGGGAAUAAAGUGCAUCACGUGUGAUGUUUUGUAUGUACUCUGCGAAUAAGGAUCGGCUAACUCUGUGCCAGCCGCCGC
rnacentral:rRNA from 1 species